rnacentral:lncRNA from 1 species
CUGUUAAAUUGUACCUUUUAAAAUUGUUACACGAUGAUGACUGCUGUACCCAUAUUUUGACUAUUUUAUUUAUUAUGUCUGUUUAGUUCACGUAUUAUUGUAAAUAUAACGGAAUUUGAUGAGACCGUCAUCAAAGUGAGAGGUUUAGCGCUUUAAAACCAGAAUUAAUCCACCAUUUUCUACAUUUGAAAAUGCCUGUACCAAGUCAGGAAUGUGACAGUUCUUGUC